UACGUAGGGUGCGAGCGUUAAUCGGAAUUACUGGGCGUAAAGCGUGCGCAGGCGGUUAUACAAGACAGGCGUGUAAUACCCGGGACUUAACUGGGAAUGGCGUCUGUGAGAGUAUAGCUAGAGUGUGUCAGAGGGGGGUGGAAUUCCACGUGUAGCAGUGAAAUGCGUAGAUAUGUGGAGGAACACCAAUGGCGAAGGCAGCCCCCUGGGAUAACAAUGACGCUCAUGCACGAAAGCGUGGGGAGCAAACAGGAUUAGAUACCCUGGUAGUCCACGCCCUAAACGAUGCUGACUAGUUGUUGGGAAUUUACAUUCUCAGUAACGUAGCUAACGCGUGAAGUCAGCCGCCUGGGGAGUACGGUCGCAAGAUUA
rnacentral:rRNA from 1 species